CAACUUUGGUGUUGAUGACGUCGAUAUACGACGUCAUAAACACGAUCAACUUUGGUGUUUAUGACGUCGAUAUACGACGUCAUAAACACGAUCAACUUUGGUGUUUAUGACGUCGAUAUUCAACAUCAUAAACAUUUAACUUGGAUGUUUAUGACGUUGAUAUUCAACAUUAUAAACAUUCAACUUGGAUCUUUAUGACGUUGAUUUUCAACGGCAUAAGCAUUCAACUUG